CCUACGGGAGGCAGCAGUGGGGAAUAUUGGACAAUGGGGGCAACCCUGAUCCAGCCAUGCCGCGUGUGUGAAGAAGGCCCUCGGGUUGUAAAGCACUUUCAGUGAGGAAGAACGCCUGGUGGUUAAUACCCAUCAGGAAAGACAUCACUCACAGAAGAAGCACCGGCUAACUCCGUGCCAGCAGCCGCGGUAAUACGGAGGGUGCGAGCGUUAAUCAGAAUUACUGGGCGUAAAGCGCGCGUAGGUGGCUGGAUAAGCCGGUUGUGAAAGCCCCGGGCUCAACCUGGGAACGGCAUCCGGAACUGUCAAGCUAGAGUGCAGGAGAGGAAGGUAGAAUUCCCGGUGUAGCGGUGAAAUGCGUAGAGAUCGGGAGGAAUACCAGUGGCGAAGGCGGCCUUCUGGACUGACACUGACACUGAGGUGCGAAAGCGUGGGUAGCAAACAGGAUUAGAUACCCUAGUAGUC
rnacentral:rRNA from 1 species